AGUGAACGCUGGCGGUAGGCCUAACACAUGCAAGUCGAACGGCAGCACAGUAAGAGCUUGCUCUUACGGGUGGCGAGUGGCGGACGGGUGAGGAAUACAUCGGAAUCUACUUUUUCGUGGGGGAUAACGUAGGGAAACUUACGCUAAUACCGCAUACGACCUACGGGUGAAAGCAGGGGAUCUUCGGACCUUGCGCGAUUGAAUGAGCCGAUGUCGGAUUAGCUAGUUGGCGGGGUAAAGGCCCACCAAGGCGACGAUCCGUAGCUGGUCUGAGAGGAUGAUCAGCCACACUGGAGCUGGGACACGGUCCAGACUCCUACGGGAGGCAGCAGUGGGGAAUAUUGGACAAUGGGCGCAAGCCUGAUCCAGCCACACCGCGUGGGUGAAGAAGGCCUUCGGGUUGUAAAGCCCUUUUGUUGGGAAAGAAAAGCAGCAGGUUAAUACCCCGCUGUUCUGACGGUACCCAAAGAAUAAGCACCGGCUAACUUCGUG
rnacentral:rRNA from 1 species